GGGCUUCAUUUCUUUUUUUUGAAAACAGGCUGAAAGUUGAUGCAAAGGAGAAAGGACACAAGGCAAAACGCUCAGAGAGCAAUAGAUGUAACGUUGCAUAGUAAUGGCCAGCAGAAGAAAUGGAAGUUUCCUGCCAAAGCAGGCUUUUGUGUAAGACCCACUCUGCCUUAACCAUACUUUCCAUAAGAAAUGUAAACAAUGUACAAAUAGAAAUUAGAAACAAAAUCACAGUAGCCUCAUUCCUGACGGUUUGAAGCAUGUUUACAAAUCAAAGGUUGAAAUUGUUUGUUUUCCUCAUACCCCAAAACAGAGGCUCCGAGAGACAAAAAUGCUCGAGGCUUGAACAAUUCAGAUAUAGACUGACUUUGCUAAUACAGGCAUAUGAUGUUGGCUUCUCUAACAGAGACAGCUUAACCAACAGUUGAUUUGAAGGUAUUGUAAACGCAGCAACUACUCACAGAUAAGGGAAAGAUGUGUUUUAUGAGAAAUGAAUUCCUAGAAAAAUGUGGGAGUUCAUCUACUUUUUCUUUUAGCUCAGGAUUAAUUUGGCAAGAGCUGUUUGCAAAGUAAGUGCUUACAAGGCUGAGCCUAGGUUUGGCAGCUCAAAAGCCUCCUCGGCCCCAGUGAAUAUUUCAGAUGAUUACAUAAGAAAUGUUGAAAUUAAUAUCCUCACAAAAUACUGUCGACUUUAAUCUCUUGCAAUUUCUUUGGUGUGUGCAUUUUGCUCCCAGUUAGCCAAGAUAGGAAAAAAAAAAUAUAUCAAUAUCCGUCUGUGCAUCCUUAUCUGCUGAAGCUUCCCCACGAGCAGCGUCCUGUGCACUUCGCUCCUUCCCCCAUCCUUCUGUGUCAGAAUUUCUCCUCCUUGCUGUUUCCAGAAGCAUUUCUGGAGGGCGGAGAUCAUCUAAUUUUAGCAACUCGGAGAAUCCUCUGCUCUCCAAUGAGCGAGCUGCUGCAUCUGAAGCUGCAGCCAAUUACCCGGGGUUUCCUCCUGCUACACUUCCCACGACCGUUUAAUAAUGCAGAGUUACACAUUUAAAGGGGCCCCACACCUUAAGAGAAAAUAACACUGUGUGUUCCCUAACAAAGAUGUAGCUUUAUACAGUAAGAGUAUCUCAAAGGUUUCUUCCAAAUCCUUGGAUUCCACAAACCCGACCUUUUAGCCCCGUGUUGAUAUUGUUAUUGUACACAUGUUAUCUUUGUAGCGCUUGAAAAGCUGUUUCUAAUAACACCAAGGCUGGUUUGAAGCAUGGUCUCCAACUUCUGUAGCCCAGGGAUGUUAUUAUGAGCUAAGAAAAGAAACAAACAAAACCUGAAAUUUUAAUUACAAUGCAACAAACCAUUACAGUUCUGAAUACUUCUCUGGGCAUUGCUUUGCUGCUGUAUCUGAUCUGUUAAGCGGUUUAGCAAGCCUUGGUUGUCUUAUUUUUAGCUGGCAUGGCAUAUAAUAACACUAAGAUCGUGAUUGCAGAUGCAUUUGUACUCUAGUAACAAAGAAAUAACUUCUUAAGGAAAAAAAUACUGUUUUAGAACUUUGAAUUCCAAUAUUGCAAGAAGGUGGACAAAAUAUUUACCUGUGGAUUGUUCAUUAAAAAAAAAAGAAAGGAGGAAAAAAAGAAUGAUGUCAAAUUGCAGUGGAUAAUGCAAAAUAAUAAAGAAAAGUUAAAGAGUAAUACCAGCUAGUUUCACUGAUUAAAAAUGAAACUUGCACAUUUUAGCUUUACGUGCAUUUUGAUGUGUAGCAUGCAAAAAAAGAAAAAAAAAAGUAGUAAUAAUUUACUGGUUAUUCAUUUGCCACACAAACAACUUCUGUCCACCACUGACACCAUUUUUUUUGCUUCUCUCACGAUAAAGGCUGGGAUACCUACACACGGUACCAGCUUACCUCCAGAACCUGCUUCAUCCGUGCUUGCUUUUGCAGCGCGAAGUGUCUUUGACGGAAAUCCUGUGACCAAGCUCACUUCCGCUCCUGCAAGCCUUCUCCCUCCUCCAUUUCUUACCGCUAAACAAUUCUGCUGCAGCUUGCCUACAUGCCUGUAUUCCUAGCUAACUUUUUAUUGCUUCUGACUAACCCAAUUCAAGCCUUCAUUUCUGCUUUCAUGUAUUUGCUAUCUCACAAUUUUCUUUAAAGAUGUUAUUAUUUCCACAAGACUUCAAGUAAUAACAAACUUCUUAUCUACACAUCCUCUGUAACUCCAUCACUUGCUCUACUGACCUUCUUCCAUUUUAUUUCCUGAUCACCCCCAAGCUCAUUCUUUUAUAUGUUCACAGCUGUUGUCAUACACUCUGCUCUGACCCCUCAGCACCCACACAGAUGCACUUCAGCCUCUUGUACAUCAAUCAGUUAAUUUAAUAUGAUCCUUCCUUAGAAGUGCCUCCUCUCAUCUCAUGUUUGUAAGUCUUCCAACCACAUCUCCUGUCUGGCUGCACCCUAAAUUCACUUCAAACACAGUUUUGCUUCCUCUACUCAUCUAAAAGCUUCUUAACACAUCUCAAACCAAACUCUUUUGUCUCCAGACACUUUUAGCAUAGCUAGCUUUCCUCUUUCCUUAGCUUUUGCAAUUAUUCUCACCUAUUGCUGUUUCCCCAGUUGCUGCUUCAGCCUGGCCCAGCAAUAGCUUCCCUUGUGUUUCUUACCCAUGUCUGCAAGAACACCAGUGAACUCUGCUAUAAUUUCUCUCCUCCCUUCUCUCCUAGCUCAUACCUCAUUAUCCUAAUUGACAAAUACAGAUACGAUUACCUCAUACUACUGUCUCCUUUCAAACUUAAGCAUAAAACAGACAUAGUAACUGGAAAUUGCUGUUUGGAAUCGCCAAGCUGAGAGAUUGAGAUGGGCCUGAUCAGAAGAAAUCAACACUUUGAAGAGAGUACAAGUCUGAAGAAAGCACUGUUAAGUACAUCCAUGCAAGAGCUAAAGGAAAGAAGAUAGUUCAGUAAAGCAAGAAAACGAAAUGGAAAAAAAAAAUAGAAAGGAAAUGGAAACCUAUGGAGAGCUGCAAAUCAAACAGUAAAUCAUGCAAGCCUUAGCAAGGCUUGAUAAAAUACAAAGAAGACAUUCAGAGCAACAACUUUUGCAGAGAAAUUAAUACACUAUAUCAUUAAAACCACUCCAAUUACACCUACCAUCUGAACCUAAGCUUAGACAACAGACUUACAUAAACUGCCACCCACUUUGGUCUACUGUUGCUGCUGGUCUAUAAACUUUUAACUCCAGAACACACUUAUGCAUUUAGCUGCCACAAAUAUAAAAGCCUGCAAGAAAAAAAAAAAUAGUGAAGCUUGGCAGUGCUUAUCUUUUCAUCCACCCCAUUUAAGUCCAGCUGCAGAUAUCAGUUCAGUCUUAGCUUCCCCCUUACUGAUGUAAGCAAAUGCAGGAUAAUUUCCAAUUGAAGCAAGCUGAUGGCUCUGUAUAAAUUAACACAUACAGGUGAUAGCAGCUUUGGGUACAGAUCUGAUUACAAUCUGAGCCAAGGCUGCCUAAAAGAAGGCAACAGAAGAUCUCUUGCUGGAUGUGGGGUAAGUUUCCUCGAGAUGGUACACAUUAAGCAAAAGAACAUCUUACAACAACAAAAAUUUUUGUUUCUAAUUCUACUUAAAAUUUAGUAUCAGAAAAAAACUUUAAGUCUUGUAAAGAUAAGUAUCUAUACCAGAAAAGAGAUACACAACCUGUUCUAUGGAAUCACAAUUUUCAAGCCUGCUGUAUUUACAAUUAAAAGAUGGUUGUGGAACUUGUCCACAGUUGCUCAUUUAGAUUACCUAUUUUCAGAUUGUCUUAAUACUUUUCAAUUCGUGAGCAGCAAAACAUGAGGGGAAAAAAAUGAUGAAAGCAAAUAGUCGUUAUGUCCAAGGAUUUAAACCUGAGAAUUUGUAAGAAAACCUGUUACAAUUCCAGUGAGAAAUAGGAAGCAGUUUUGCUGUGUAUGGGAAUCAAAGCAGAACGGACCAGUGAACAUGGUUCUUGUGUCAAGUACCACAAGCAGCAAAGCAAAAGAGUGGCUUCAAAUUCCUGGGUGUGGCUGGGUAUGGUUUUUCAUAUGAUCUUAGUAUUGUAAGUAUGAUAUAUAUUUUUUGUUCCUCUUAAGGAGUCUGGUUUAUAGAUUGAAACUGUUUUUAAGUUAAAAAAAUAAUUGUCUUCUUAAUCUGAAUGUACUACAUUGAUUUUAUCUUGCACCCAUCUUUAAUAUUCUACACACACUGCACUGCUUAUGAAACCAAAUAUCCCACAGUGUGUUGUGACUUUACCAAGGCGCUACUUCAAAACUCACACAGGGUAGAAGUUGGUCUAAAAGUGAUUUGCUGAAGGACAGCCUGGAUCCCAGGCUUGAGAGCUUGCAGAAUAAAGGUAAACAGUGCCACAUGUCUUCAUUAUGCCAUGGGCACUUCCUGAAUCGUAGCAGCGGUGCAGGUAAGUUGGGCCAGAGGACAUUUUUGACAGAGGGUGGAACACUCCAUUAUGUUUACAUUUAUCACUACAAAAAGUUAAACUGUUACUUUCAGCACACCACCAGCAAAGGGCUUCAUGUGCCUGAAUUCCCUUUUAAAGAGGUGGCAGCAAUCUUUGGCUCUCCAUCUAAAAGCUGAGCUCUGUGCUUCUCGUGGACAAAUGAGAUAUUAGGGAUGGUACACUGCACAAGAAUUUAAAGUACAAACACAAGGAGCGUUGUCUCCUGUGCUCCUCACACACGCAUUGCCAACAGAGCUGAUACAUCCUUGGGCAAAAGGAACGACGGCCCAGGCCCGCUCAGGGCUCCAGCUCCGAGUUAUGUAAUACCGACUCCAAGUUUCCACCAAGAACAACAAACUCCGGCCUUCUCUGUUGCAAAACCAGCAGAGCUGGAAACAUGUAGUAAACCUCUCUCCCUGGAGUGACUGAGUCAGCGCGCACCGCACCUUCACGGAGCGGCGCCAGGAAACGCAGCGGCGCUGCCAUAACCGCGCCUCAGCGGGACGGGAGCGCUCCGCGGGCGGCGGCGUACCGUUAGGAGGCUGCUGCGGGCAACAGCCAUCGCCUCACGCGAGCGUUGCGCCUCCGGGGCUAGGCUUCGCGCUUGGUCUGUUAUCGGGAAGCGCCUCGAGAGAACAACGCAGUUGUAAGUCAGCGCGGCAGCCACCCGCGCGCCCACUCCGCCGCGGGCGAACAGAGCCGUGGGCGCUGAGGUGAGAGGCGCGAAGCCCCCUGCACGCGCUUUCCCUCACAACUCAGUCCCGCGGGCCGCCAUUCGCC
ensembl:lncRNA